rnacentral:rRNA from 1 species
UUAAUAAGCGGAGGAAAAGAAACUAACAAGGAUUCCCUCAGUAACGGCGAGUGAAGCGGGAAGAGCUCAAAUUUGAAAUCUCCGAUGCCUGCAUCGGCGAGUUGUAGUUGCGAGAAGCACUUUCUAGGCGGAUCGGCGGUGCCUAAGUUGCUUGGAACAGCACGUCGCAGAGGGUGACAACCCCGUCUGUGGCGCCGCCGGCCGCUGACGAUGCGCUUUCGAAGAGUCGGGUUGUUUGGGAAUGCAGCCCAAAAUGGGUGGUAAACUCCAUCUAAAGCUAAAUACUGGCGUGAGACCGAUAGCGA